ensembl:snoRNA SNORD115 Small nucleolar RNA SNORD115
GAGUGAAUGAGGACAUCAUAUCUUGAGGGGUGUGAUUGCAUAAAAAUCAUGCUUAAUAAAAUUACUCUGGGGCCC